GUCCGGCACAAUGGGACUGAGACACGGCCCAUACUUCUACGGAAGGCAGCAGUUAGGAAUUUUGCGCAAUGGACGAAAGUCUGACGCAGCGACAUCGCGUGUGGGAUGACGGCCCUCGGGUUGUAAACCACUUUUUGGGAGCCAUGAAGGCGCCCAGAAUAAGGAACUACUAACUACGUGCCAGCAGUCGCGGUAAUACGUAGGUUCCAAGCGUUGCCCGGUUUUAUUGGGCGUAAAGCGUCUGUAGGUGGUUUUUUAAGUCUUGUUUCAAAGACCCCGACUCAAUCGGGGAAAGGGGCAGGAUACUGGAAAACUAGAGUUAUAUCGGGGUUACUGGAAUUUGUGGUGUAGGGGUAAAAUCCGUGGAUACCACAAAGAACACCAAGCGCGAAGGCGGGUAACCAGGUAUACACUGACACUCAGAGACGAAAGCUAGGGUAAUCAAUCAGAUUAGAGACCUGAGUAGUCCUAGCCGUAAACAUUGUCUGUUAAUUUUUUCUCGUUUAUCGGGAAGAGAUGCUAGCUAACGCGUUAAACAGACCGCCUGGGGAGUAUAGCCGCAAGGCCGAAACUCAAACGAAUUGGCGGGGAGGCGCACAACCAGUGGAGCAUGUGGUUCAAUUCGAUACGAAGCGAUAAACCUUACCUGGGUUUGAAAUGUAUCUGCAAGCUUUAUGAAAGUAGAGCCGCCUUCGAGGGUGAUACACAGCUGUUGCAUGGCUGUCGUCAGCUCGUGACGUGAGUUGUUCUCUUAAGUGAGGUAACGAGCGCAACCCCCAUUCCGUGUUACUGUGUCACGGAAGACUGCCCAGCAUUAUUUUGUUGGGAGGAAGGAGGGGACGAUGUCAAGUCAUCAUGAUGCUUAUAUCCAGGGCUACACACAUCCUACAAUGGGUUGUACAGAGGGUUGCAAGACCGCAAGGUGGAGCGAAUCCCUAAAACAUCCCUCAGUUGGGAUUGCAGGCUGCAAUUUGCCUGCAUGAACCCGGAAUUGGUAGUAAUCGCAAAUCAGAAGAUUGCGGUGAAUACGUUCUCGCCUCUUGCACACACUGCCCGUCAAAUCAGCAAAGUUGAGGGUACCCAAAGGCUCUGAUUCGUCAGGGACUAAGGUAAAUUCAGCGAUGAGGGUUAAGUCGUAACAAGGUAUCCGUACUGGAAGGUGCGGAUGGAUCACCUCCUUU
rnacentral:rRNA from 1 species